GAGGGCUGUGCGCUGGCAGCCUGUGUUUUCUGUCUGUUGCUGUUUGUCUCUUCUUCCUUCCUUCCUUCCUUCCUUCCUUCCUUCCUUCCUUCCUUCCUUCCUUCCUUCCUUCUUUCUUCCUUUCUUUCUGUCUGUCUCCAGAGAAAGAAUUUCUCUGGUCAAUAAGCCACUAACCCGAGGCUGGAGAGAUGGCUCAGUGGGUAAAGCGCUGAGGUGUAAGAUGAGGACAGGAGUUGGGAUCCCCAGAACCCAUGCAAAAAGCAAAGUGGUCAUGGCGGCUGCCUGCAAUCCCAGUUCAUGGGAGGUGGAGACAGAAGCCUUAGGGUAAGGUGGCCAGCCAGACUAGCAGAGUUGGGGAGCUCUGGGUUCAGUGAGAGACCCUGACUCAGUACACAAGGUGGGGAGUGAUAGAAAAGGCAGCCAGCAUCAACCUCAAGCCUGUGUAUACACGCACACACACACAUGCUUCCACACGCAUGUAUACACACCACACCUGGGUAGACCUGCAUGCACACCACACACACAUACUAAGAAAAAGCAAUUCACUUGAAUGUUUCUCUACUCUGUCCUCUUCCCAUGAGGACUAGACUGCUCACUUGAAUAAAGUCAGUCAAGUGAACAGCUGUCCAGGCCAGUUCCCAGGGCCUUUGGUCAUGCCGAAAGCUGGAGGGCACCCCACACACCUACCUGCCACCCUAAUAAAAAUAAAACAGCAGAUGGCUUCACCUCUCAGCAGGUUCCUUUCUUCUUCACCCACCCUCAGCACCUCAAUCUGCUGCAUGCCCAGGACCCCCUUGCCCUGUCAUUUCUAUUCUAGGUCCCAUGUGACCACUGGGGACUUAGCAAGGACGCCAUGUUCCCUUGUUGUUUCUGGAUGCAUUUCACCUUUCCCCUGUCCUUAUGAAACCACCACCACACAGAAGACAGAACUGGCAACAGGGCCCUGGUCCGCGGCUUGGUAUUAGAAGAUUAUUGUAGCUGGAGUGGAAGGCAGCAUCAGGAGCCAGGAGGAGACCUGCUGGGUUGGAGCGUCCAAAGAGAAGGCUGGAGAGCCAACCCUCCUUCCAUUCCUCUUUCUCUUCCUGGCCAAUGUCUAAAGUGCAUAAAUCAGUUGUGCCAAAAUUAGGAGAGAACGUUUAUGCUUUAUUACCACACAGCCACACAGCAACAACUUUGCAGGUGAUUAAAUAUGCAUCCGAUGAACUUUGCUGUAAGCUUGACUUAAUAAAAACAUCCAAACUCCACA
rnacentral:lncRNA from 1 species